UGUGAAAUGUUGGGUUAAGUCCCGCAACGAGCGCAACCCUUAUCCUUUGUUGCCAGCGAUUAGGUCGGGAACUCAAAGGAGACUGCGGUGAUAAACCGGAGGAAGGUGGGGAUGACGUCAAGUCAUCAUGGCCCUUACGAGUAGGGCUACACACGUGCUACAAUGGCGUAUACAGAGGGAAGCGAGAGUGCGAGCUGGAGCGAAUCUCACAAAGUACGUCUAAGUCCGGAUUGGAGUCUGCAACUCGACUCCA
rnacentral:rRNA from 1 species